GGUUGAUCCUGCCAGUAGUCAUAUGCUUGUCUAAAAGAUUAAGCCAUGCAUGUGUUAGUGUAAAUAUUUCACAGUAGGACUGCGGAUGGCUCAUUAAAUCAGUUAUAGUUUAUUUGAUGGUUUCUUUUUACUACUUGGAUAACCGUAGUAAUUCUAGAGCUAAUACAUGCAUAAAGUCCUGACUAAGGGGUAACUUUUGGAAGGGAUGUAUUUAUUAGAUUAAAAACCAAUACAUACUUCGGUAUGGCCAACUUGGUGAUUCAUAAUAACUCAAACGAAUCGCAUUAUAC
rnacentral:rRNA from 1 species